rfam:Rhodanobacter sp. SCN 69-32 ABT17_C0004, whole genome shotgun sequence.
CGGCAAGAUGUGUAUUGUACCGGUGCGCGCCGAGGCGCGACCGUUCCAAUACCGUCCUUACUCGCGCUUCGCGCUCGACGGCAUCUUGCUCUGCGAGGCU